rnacentral:rRNA from 1 species
CGCGUAAGUGGCCAAUUAAGUCAAAUGUGAAAUCCCCGAGCUUAACUUGGGAAUUGCAUUCGAUACUGGUUGGCUAGAGUAUGGGAGAGGAUGGUAGAAUUCCAGGUGUAGCGGUGAAAUGCGUAGAGAUCUGGAGGAAUACCGAUGGCGAAGGCAGCCAUCUGGCCUAAUACUGACACUGAGGUGCGAAAGCAUGGGGGAGCAAACA